rnacentral:rRNA from 1 species
ACGAACGCUGGCGGCGUGCUUAACACAUGCAAGUCGAACGGAAAGGCCCUGCUUGCAGGGUACUCGAGUGGCGAACGGGUGAGUAACACGUGGGUGAUCUGCCCUGCACUUCGGGAUAAGCCUGGGAAACUGGGUCUAAUACCGGGUAGGAGCCAUUUUUAGUGUGAUGGUUGGAAAGUUUUUUCGGUGUAGGAUGAGCUCGCGGCCUAUCAGCUUGUUGGUGGGGUAAUGGCCUACCAAGGCGGCGACGGGUAGCCGGCCUGAGAGGGUGGACGGCCACAUUGGGACUGAGAUACGACCCAGACUCCUACGGGAGGCAGCAGUGGGGAAUAUUGCACAAUGGGCGCAAGCCUGAUGCAGCGACGCCGCGUGGGGGAUGACGGCCUUCGGGUUGUAAACUCCUUUCGCUAGGGACGAAGCUUUUUGUGACGGUACCUAGAUAAGAAGCACCGGCUAACUACGUG